GCGGAGAGCAGCAUCCUCCGGUCUGUAAGAGAACACUGUUAUUGGAUUUGAUAAUGAAAGCCGAGGUCGGGUUCCCUGAGUGUGGAGCAAACAACAAACGGCAAGAGGAGCCAGGGCAGAGGAGGGAGGCUGGAAGGGCCCUGCCCUGCUCUGCUGCUGCUGGAAUCGGAGCUGGCUCUGGCCAUGUCCCCCCUCCAGGGCCACACGGGACUCGGAAGGAACAAAGGGUCAGUUCUGCCCGGGCUGGAGCUGAUCUCGCUGGUGUUGGUGCUCAGAUAAUGGGAGCGGCCCAGGUGGAUGGAGUGAGGGAUGCUGAGCUACAGAAACCUCUUGGUGACAGAGCAGCACCUCGGGAAAGAGCUGGAGCUGCUGGAGCCCCUCUGGAGCCGGGAUGGGAGAGCAGGGAUGGGAGAGGCGGGAUGGGAGAGCAGGGAUGGGAGAGCCGGGAGAGCUGGGAUGGGAGAGGCGGGAUGGGAGAGCCGGGAUGGGAGAGCCGGGAUGGGAGAGCUGGGAUGGGAGAGCCGGGAUGGGAGAGCUGGGAUGGGAGAGCCGGGAUGGGAGAGCUGGGAUGGGAGAGCUGGGAUGGGAGAGCCGGGAUGGGAGAGCUGGGAUGGGAGAGCCGGGAGAGCCGGGAGAGCCGGGAUGGGAGAGCAGGGAUGGGAGAGCCGGGAUGGGAGAGCUGGGAUGGGAGAGCUGGGAUGGGAGAGCCGGGAUGGGAGAGCUGGGAUGGGAGAGCAGGGAGAGCUGGGAUGGGAGAGCAGGGAUGGGAGAGCCGGGCUGGGAGAGCCGGGAUGGGAGAGCUGGGAUGGGAGAGCCGGGAUGGGAGAGCCGGGAGAGCUGGGAGAGCCGGGAUGGGAGAGCCGGGAUGGGAGAGCUGGGAUGGGAGAGCCGGGAUGGGAGAGCUGGGAUGGGAGAGCCGGGCCGGGAGAGCCGGGAUGGGAGAGCCGGGCUGCUUCAGCUGCAGAGGAGAAGCUCCAGGGAGAGCUCAGAGCCCCCUCCAGGGCCUGAAGGGGCUCCAGGAGAGCUGGAGAGGGACAAGGGAUGGAGGGACAGGAGCCAGGGAAUGGCUGCCAGUGCCAGAGGGCAGGGCUGGAUGGGAUUUGGGCAGGAAUUGUUCCUGGCAGGGUGGGCAGGCCCUGGCACAGGUGCCCAGAGAAGCUGAAAAGUUCCAGCACAAAUUUAUUCACAAGGUUUGAACAGUUUCCCUUCAGAGCAGCACACGCUGUUUUCUCUCCAGGUGCUGGGCUGUGUUUUAUGGAUCAGCGACUCCUUCCCCAUGCUGGGGGCUGCUGGGGCUGGGGAGAAGCUGGGGGGAUGCUCAGCUCCUUUCUCAGGAUAAUCCCAAGGGUCCUGUCGGUUCCCUCUGCCGUUCCAAGGCUGAUUUCUCUGCCUAAUGGAUCCUCUUACACCUCCUUUGUCCGCUGAGGGGUUUGAUGGCUGUGAAAAUCCGAGCAGUGAAAUAUCCGGGAUUGGAUUAGCACUACAGGGGCUGCCUUCCAGUAAAGCCUGUGUCUCCUUUGCCAGCGAUCCUUUUACUCCACACCGGCACGGAGCAGCUCCUCUAAGUAGUUCCUUUGCACUUUGGCAUCUCUGAGUUAUUUGAUUAAUAAUACACUGGACUGUAUGCAACUUCUUGUCCACUGGGAAUUCUUAAAUAUCCUUCAUGUGGCAAGGUUUUCCAGCACAGUGCUCUGGAAGCAGCCACUCAGCGCGGGGACAGGCAGAAAACGCUUUGCCAAAAUGAAAAGGGAGACUCUGUUGGUGGCUUGACUUCAGCCUCUUUAGGUUUGAAAAAUGUAGUUCAGUGUUUCCGGGUGAAGUUUGAUGUUCUCUGCAAAAGAAACAAGCUGGUACGGCUGCACCAGCUCAAUGUCAUCAUGGAAUUUUUCAGUAAUGACGCUGCUAUUCCUGGAAAAUAAAUGGAGUCCUCAGCACCUUUGCUGUGGGUGA
rnacentral:lncRNA from 1 species